UACAGAGGUCUCAAGCGUUGUUCGGAUUCAUUGGGCGUAAAGGGUGCGUAGGCGGCGUGGUAAGUCGGAUGUGAAAUCUCGGGAGCUUAACUCCGAAACUGCAUUCGAUACUGUCGUACUCGAGGAACCUAGAGGUGAGCAGAACAGAUGGUGGAGCGGUGAAAUGCGUUGAUAUCAUCUGGAAUACCGGAGGCGAAGGCGGCUCACUGGGGGUUUUCUGACGCUGAGGAACGGAAAGCCAGGGUAGCGAACGGG
rnacentral:rRNA from 1 species